rnacentral:rRNA from 1 species
GAUGAACGCUGGCGGCGUGCCUAAUACAUGCAAGUCGAGCGAACGGACGAGAAUCUUGCUUCUCUGAUGUUAGCGGCGGACGGGUGAGUAACACGUGGAUAACCUACCUAUAAGACUGGGAUAACUUCGGGAAGCCGGAGCUAAUACCGGAUGAUAUUUUGAACCGCAUGGUUCAAAAGUGAAAGACGGUCUUGCUGUCACUUAUAGAUGGAUCCGCGCUGCAUUAGCUAGUUGGUAAGGUAACGGCUUACCAAGGCAACGAUGCAUAGCCGACCUGAGAGGGUGAUCGGCCACACUGGAACUGAGACACGGUCCAGACUCCUACGGGAGGCAGCAGUAGGGAAUCUUCCGCAAUGGGCGAAAGCCUGACGGAGCAACGCCGCGUGAGUGAUGAAGGUCUUCGGAUCGUAAAACUCUGUUAUUAGGGAAGAACAUAUGUGUAAGUAACUGUGCACAUCUUGACGGUACCUAAUCAGAAAGCCACGGCUAACUACGUG